AACGUAGGAGACAAGCGUUAUCCGGAGUUACUGGGCGUAAAGGGCGUGUAGGCGGUUUGUUAAGUCUGGCGUGAAAGCUCUCGGCUAAACCGGGAGAGGUCGUUGGAUACUGGCAAACUAGAGGACGGUAGAGGCGUGGGGAAUUCCGGGUGUAGUGGUGAAAUGCGUAGAGAUCCGGAGGAACACCAGUGGCGAAGGCGACACGCUGGGCCGUACCUGACGCUAAAGCGCGAAAGCAUGGGGAGCAAACGGG
rnacentral:rRNA from 1 species